UUUCCUUUGGUGUCUUUAUCCAAAUGUAGCAUCACAGAACGAAGCUUAUAAAAACAGCCAUGUUGGAAGCUCUUUAAUUACCAAAAUGUACUGAAAUACAUCAUCUUAUGACUGAAAAUCUUAGUUUCAAACCCACUUUAUGAAUUUAGCUCUACCAUCUUCCUUUAGUUCUUCUUUUCACUGAAGCAGAAACUCGCUGCUAGACGAAGUUAAUUUCUCCUACACAGGAUCCUGCUCCUGUUCCACCUUAGAAAUGCUGGUUUUCCUCCAGGUUUUUCUGCCUUUGCUGCCAAGCAGCUCGUCUGGCAGCUCGUCAAACAGAAACGAGCUGCUGCCUCCCAGCAGUUUCUACUUUUUCCAGGAUUGCUUCUGCAACGUUGAACUCUAAAACAUCCCAGCAAGCAAAACAAGACAAGGAUUCGGAAGUUAAAAGUAAACAAAUUGGGAAAUGUUCCUUUCUGAGGACGGGAAAGAGAAUCACAUAUUUUCAUGGUUACACCCAAAAGACUGUUCAGGGCAGCAGGAGUCCAUCCUCUCCUCUCCUCCCUCCCUUCUGUUCUCACUCCAUUGCUUCCAAUACGGAGAAGAUAAAUCACAUGCCAUGGAGCCAUUGUUGUGAGGGGAAAUAGAUGGGGCAUUUGUUGACAAAACUCAUUUUCCCACUUCCAGAUGCAGUUCGCUGGACACGCCUUUCUUUCUGUGUCGCCGGUUUGUCUUGACAAAUGUGUGUGUUUGGUGGUGGGACUGGUCAAAACACACACAUCCAUGAGCAUGUCCUACUAAGACAACCCUCAACCUUUCACUCACACUUACGUAUUUUCACACUUCGUAGAUUCGGUUCGAUUGGGGACAAAAAUGUCAACUUUCGUUUCAUUUUCAGCUGUUGUUCGCGUUUUGAAAACCUGUUCCCCUCCUCGCCUGUG